rnacentral:rRNA from 1 species
AUUGAACGCUGGCGGCAGGCCUAACACAUGCAAGUCGAGCGGAGCGGCGGACGGGUGAGUAAUGCCUAGGAAUCUGCCUGGUAGUGGGGGAUAACGUCCGGAAACGGGCGCUAAUACCGCAUACUAUCAGAUGAGCCUAGAUCGGAUUCGCUAGUUGGUGGGGUAAAGGCCUUCCAAGGCGACGAUCCGUAACUGGUCUGAGCGGAGGAUCAGUCACAAUGGAACUGAGACACGUUCCAGACUCCUACGGGAGGCAGCGGUGGGGAAUAUUGGACCAUGGGCGGAAGCCUUAGCCAGCCAGGCCGCGUGUGUGAAGAAGGUCUUCGGGUUGUAAAGCACUUUGAGUAGGGAGGCGUUACCAACAGUGUAAGCACCGGCUAACUUCGUGCCAGCAGCCGCGGUAAUUC